UGCAAGGCGGGGCCACAGCGCCCACCCCCGAGCUGGGCCUGGGGGUAGGGGCGGGGCCAUCGUGCGGCCUUCACCCGGCUGCCCCCUCCCCUGCGGAACCGAAAAGUCGGUGUGUGCAGCGGGCUUGGGAGACCAGGCCGCCCGGGGUUUGAGUCCAGGGGCUGCCACUUGCUAACCUACAGCCCAGAACCAGGGAGGGCCUCCUGAAGCCUCUGUCUUCAUCUAAACAAUGAGGCAGUGACGAGCUCUAUCCAUGGAGGGCCUCUCAGAGUGGUACCCUCCACAACUCACUGCAGCUGCGUGAGAUCCAAGAGGCCAUUUCAUUUUUCAGAAUGCCAGAGGUAGAGUCAGAGGAGGCAGGAGUGAGUCUGUAGCCCAACCAGAGAGGGAGAAAGGGGAACUGCAACGGGGAGUGAGAAGAAGAAGCCCCAAAUGGACACAAGGAUGGACCUCUUGGAUGCACAUCAAGCCAGGAAGCCUCAUCUAGGCCAAGAACAAACAAAUACCAAAAAUGAGGAAUAGAUAUUCCUCUCUGCCUAGCUCUGCCCAGGGAC